UUUAAGGACUACAAAAGGAUUCUAAUUAAACAUUUUAUAAACAAUAAUAGGUUGGGCCUUUAGCCAUUAUAUACGUAUAUAUACAGACAGAUAUAUAUGUACACUUACAUUUUGAUGGGAUCAAGUCCUGAUUUAAGUCAGAUAGUUACCAGAGGUGAGAAGGUAGGCUCUGAUUAAAGAUUAGCAAAAUUGAUGUUUCUAUCACUUGAGAAAAGAAAAGUCCUUUGCCUUUAAAGCACACACUGUUUUUAUCAUGCUUACAACGUAUAUACUAGCUGGUAAAACAGCACAGCCCACUUAGCAAUGUUACUGAAAACAAAAGUAUUUAUUGGCAAUUAGAGAUUAUCUAAUUCAGCAAGUUUCUGCGCUCCACUGUUAUGGCAUUUUUAUUUAGAAAUUGUUGAGUUUUGAGUAAGUAUUGUUGCUUAUAAAAUAAUUCCUAGACCUUACUGUUGAUAACUAGAUCAAAUAUAGACUAGACAGGGAAAAACACUGGGUACUUUUAGUGUUUCUAAAGCCUCCUCUGGAGUUAUUCCUGUUACAAUUUGGAAUUGAUAAUAUGAUAGAAAUUGUUAACACUCUUUUUUCUGGAUCGUUUUCAUGCCAGAAAUUAAACAGCUUCUGUUCUUUCUUAGUUAUCACCAGAAUGAAAAUAUUUGAAGUGGUGAUUCUAAAAAAGUCAUUUGUGGCUGGUUAACAUUGAUUUUGAGUUUCUUCAGUAUAUAUUGAUCAUGUGUUGAUCUUUAAUUUUUUUUUCAUAUUUUUGUCAGAUAAAUUCAGAUGUAUAUAAUGGGAUACCUUUUCUUGAGUGAACUACACUAAUAUAGUUCUAAUAUCUACAUGAUUAUACAUUAAGGAAAAAGAAAUAAAGAACUGUAAUAAGCCUAGUAAAUGUUUUUGUUGGUUAUCUUACCACUCAUGUAGAUACUACACAUUUCCACAAUACACAUAAACUUGUAUGAAGCAAAUUAUUUGUUUUGUUCAUUAUCUAGUUCCUAUAUUUUUCUUAACUCUUCAGACUUCUCACUUAACAUGGUGUAUUUAUUUCAUUUUGCUGCUUUUUAGCACCUCUUAUGAAGAUGGUCAAAGGAAAUAAAAGGAGGUAAAACUCAAUUUUCAGUUUAGUUCUUGAGAGCUCUAGGAAAGAUGGGGGAAACAUAAAUUUUAUGAGAUAAACUUAAGGCUAUUGAUUCCUGAACCCCAGAUAAAUCAGUUGGCCUAUAUUUUCAUUUUAAGCUGUACGUCAAAAUUAGUAUAAUGUCGUGCAUUAUUAUUAGGUUUAGUGCAAAACUUUACAGUAAUACAUCUGGAAUUUUAGCAACUGGUUAUUAAAAUCAUUUGGGAAAAAUUUUUUUAAUGUGUUAGGACCUUUAUUUUUCAUCAUCACUUUUUGUUUUCUCAUUGCAUAGGAAUUGUGAAUUUGUAUAUCUUAGGAGACAAGAUACUUUGUGAAAUUUAUUGGGGAAAAUCAAUUUGGAGAGCAUGACGCUAAGAUAAGAAAGCAAUUAAAUUAUUCUAUUAUGAAAUUAGAUACUGCCAGAAAACUUCCUCAUCUAAUAAGGAGAAAGUGGUGGCACUGCUGUUCUGAACUUACCACACAUGGAAAAACUAACCUUCAAAUGUAAUUUUUUGUCUUAUUAAUAAGAUAUCAAAGACAUGAAUUCUUCCCGAACACUUGUGCUCAUUUUGUAUCAGGUUAGUGAGGCAUGUAUUUGUAUAUAUCAAAUAAAGUUAAUUGACCCAGUAAUAAUUUUUCAGUAAUUAAUAAACUCAUAUUCAUGUAGUAUAUUUUCUAACAUUAUUUCCCCCUAUUUCUCUUUUGUCUUCCUAAUUAUUUUUAAGGUAUCAAGAGAGAACUGGCUCCAAUUUUUUUAAAAAUGUGAAGACUUGCAUUUUUACUGUGGUUAUUUAAAAUAUUGGAUAUAAUUUCUGUCUAAACUCUAAAUUCUAUUCACAGGACAAUCAUGGUCUUUGCUAAAAGAUGCCCACAUUUCUGUAUAUUCAGAGUUUGUUGUAUAUUAUAUUUUUCAAUUUCAAUUUUGAACAUAAACACAACACAUUUCUUUCCUAUUUUACCUCUAGUAACUCCCCGUAAAAGACAAAAAUAUAGGUUUCUUUAAAAAUAAGUAGAAAGUAAAUGUCUUUUCCUAAAACAUGGUCAAGUUGACAUGAAAGUAGUUUGGAGUGUAAUAAAAUAAAACAAAUGGCUCUCAACUUGCAUCAGUUGUUAUAAUAUAGUUAAAAAUGUAUAGAGGACAAACUAUGUGUUACGCUGAGAUAGACUCAGUAAGUAAUCAUUUAUUUGCAAAUUGAUAAUUUUGUUCUUAUCCAGAAAGUGUAGUGCAAAGUAACAGUACUUAACAGUGCAAAGAAACUUGUCCUGUAGUAUAUACUGAAAAAUGAUUGUCACUUUGCAGAUCUUUCCAUUUAAACAUGCAUGAUCUUCUCCAGUAUUUUGUAUGAUGUAUGGUGUAUUAAAUACACUUAUGUGUAAUUUGUGUGUAUUUUUUGUAUGGUAAUUAACAUUAUUACAUUUAACUGGUUGUAAUUCACAAAAAGUGCUACUUAUUGUACUCUGUAGAGUGUUGUGGAUGUUUAUAUCUAUGUUUCAGCAUUAUAGUGUAGAUUUAAUAGAUAAUAUUUGCCUUCAGUCUCCGCUCAGGUAUUAAUGUGUAGCAAUUUUUGGUGCUUUGUUUUUAAUCUGUCAUAAUCUCGUGUUCUGAAUGUUCAAAAAUAAAUUUGGUGAAUA